GGGGGCCCGCACAAGCAGCGGAGCAUGUGGUUUAAUUCGACGAAACGCGAAGAACCUUACCUGGGCUUGACAUGUCUCUGACCGGUGUGGAAACACAUCUUCCCCUUUGGGGCAGAGUCACAGGUGGUGCAUGGCUGUCGUCAGCUCGUGUCGUGAGAUGUUGGGUUAAGUCCCGCAACGAGCGCAACCCCCGUUGUAUGUUGCCAUCAUUUAGUUGGGGACUCAUACAAGACUGCCGGUGACAAACCGGAGGAAGGUGGGGAUGACGUCAAGUCAUCAUGCCCCUUAUGUCCAGGGCUACACACGUGCUACAUUGGCCGGUACAAAGGGUUGCGAUACCGCGAGGUGGAGCGAAUCCCACAAAGCCGGUCUCGGUUCGGAUUGGAGGCUGAAACUCGCCUCCAUGAAGGUGGAGUUGCUAGUAAUCCCAGAUCAGCAACGCUGGGGUGAAUACGUUCCCGGGCCUUGUACACACCGCCCGUCACACCACGAAAGCGGGUAACACCCGAAGCCGGUGACCCAACCUUAGGGAGGGAGCCGUCGAAGGUGGGACUCGUGAUUGGGGUGAAGUCGUAACAAGGUAACCGUAAGGGC
rnacentral:rRNA from 1 species